rnacentral:misc_RNA from 1 species
UUUGGUGGGUGCCGACCGUUGGUCGGCACGAGCUCUGAUUCUGUUCUGAGUUUCGAUAUCUGACAGAUGUGCCGACCAACGGUCGGCACCCACCAUC